GUAGCCGGGGCCCCGCCCCUCCUCGGACUCUGACGGGUAGUGAACUCGGGGCCGCCGGGCUCCAGAGUCCCUCGGGUCUCAGGUCAUGGCGAUCCCGGGGCCCGCGCCCGGAGCUGGCGCCAGGCCCAGGUUAGAUCUGCAAUUUCUCCAGCGGUUCCUGCAGAUACUGAAGGUUUUGUUUCCUUCUUGGUCGUCACAGAAUGCCUUGAUGUUCCUGACCCUUUUGUGCCUGACCCUCCUGGGCUGGAGUGCAGUGACAUGAUCUCAGCUCACUGCAGCCUCUGCCUCCCUGGUUCAAGCGAUUCUCCUGCCUUAGCCUCCUGAGUAGCUGGGAUUACAAGCACCCACCACCAUGCCCGAUUAAACUUUGUAUUUUUUA
rnacentral:sRNA from 1 species